UACGUAGGGGGCUAGCGUUGUCCGGAAUCAUUGGGCGUAAAGCGCGUGUAGGCGGCCCGAUAAGUCCGCUGUGAAAGUCCAGGGCUCAACCCUGGGAUGCCGGUGGAUACUGUCGGGCUCGAGUCCGGAAGAGGCGAGUGGAAUUCCUGGUGUAGCGGUGAAAUGCGCAGAUAUCAGGAGGAACACCAGUGGCGAAGGCGGCUC
rnacentral:rRNA from 1 species